rnacentral:misc_RNA from 1 species
ACAGACAGACAGACAGGGAAGGCGUCUGGGGAGGGGUCAGGGUUGGCACCUCUGUGCCACUGUCCAAGUUCAAAGCUGAAAGCCCAAGGGUAGGAUGCCCAUUGAGCUCACUGGCACUGCUUUGGGUGGACGGCUUUAGGAAAUUCCAGAACGUGCCACUGCGGAGGCAGGAUGUGCUAUGGAAAGUGCUUGCCAUCUUGGGUGUCUGUCUGUCUGU